AGAGUUUGAUUCUGGCUCAGGAUGAACGCUAGCUACAGGCUUAACACAUGCAAGUCGAGGGGCAGCAUCAGGUUAGCUUGCUAACUUGGAUGGCGACCGGCGCACGGGUGAGUAACGCGUAUCCAACCUUCCCCCUGCUCAGGGAUAGCCCGGUGAAAACCGGAUUAAGACCUGAUAGUUUCACUAGAUGGCAUCUGACGGUGAAUAAAGGUUUCGGCAAGGGAUGGGGAUGCGUCUGAUUAGCUUGUUGGCGGGUAACGGCCCACCAAGGCAACGAUCAGCAGGGGUUCUGAGAGGAAGGUCCCCCACAUUGGAACUGAGACACGGUCCAAACUCCUACGGGAGGCAGCAGUGAGGAAUAUUGGUCAAUGGGCGGAAGCCUGAACCAGCCAAGUAGCGUGCCAGGAAGACGGCCCUAUGGGUUGUAAACUGCUUUUGUGCGGGAAUAAAGUCAGGGACGCGUCCCUGUUUGCAUGUACCGCAAGAAUAAGGACCGGCUAAUUCCGUGCCAGCCGCUGC
rnacentral:rRNA from 1 species